rnacentral:rRNA from 1 species
GACGGAGGAUGCAAGCGUUAUCCGGAAUGAUUGGGCGUAAAGCGUCCGCAGGUGGCAGUUCAAGUCUGCUGUCAAAGACCGGGGCUUAACUUCGGAAAGGCAGUGGAAACUGAACAGCUAGAGUAUGGUAGGGGCAGAGGGAAUUCCUGGUGUAGCGGUGAAAUGCGUAGAUAUCUGGAGGAAUACCGGUGGCGAAGGCGGCAUCCUGGACCGGCAGUUGACGCUGAGGAGCGAAAGCCAGGGGAGCAAAGCGGG